rnacentral:other from 1 species
AAAUUCCUGUUGUAUUAGUAAAGUGAGUAUAUAUUGACCCAACACUAUUGAAAAAGGGAAUCUAACUCUUUUGGUGGAAUGAGACUUUAGUCAUGUAAUUAAAGUACAAGAAGCAAAAAGGUGAUGCCCACCUGUUAGGGAACAGGUUCAACUAUUACUUGCUAUACGGUGCAGUGGGAAUUUA